rnacentral:rRNA from 1 species
UACGAAGGGGGCUAGCGUUGUUCGGAAUUACUGGGCGUAAAGCGCGCGCAGGCGGUCCUUUAAGUCAGGGGUGAAAGCCCAGAGCUCAACUCUGGAACUGCCUUUGAAACUAGAGGACUUGGGUACGGGAGAGGUGAGUGGAAUUCCGAGUGUAGAGGUGAAAUUCGUAGAUAUUGGGAAGAACACCGGUGGCGAAGGCGGCUCACUGGCCCGUAACUGACGCUCAUGCACGACAGCGUGGGGAUCAAACAGG